AGUGAACGCUGGCGGUAUGCCUAACACAUGCAAGUCGAACGGCAGCACAGUAAGAGCUUGCUCUUACGGGUGGCGAGUGGCGGACGGGUGAGGAAUACAUCGGAAUCUACUUUUUCGUGGGGGAUAACGUAGGGAAACUUACGCUAAUACCUCAUACGACCUACGGGUGAAAGCAGGGGAUCUUCGGACCUUGCUCGAUUGAAUGAGCCGAUGUCGGAUUAGCUAGUUGGCGGGGUAAAGGCCCACCAAGGCGACGAUCCGUAGCUGGUCUGAGAGGAUGAUCAGCCACACUGGAACUGAGACACGGUCCAGACUCCUACGGGAGGCAGCAGUGGGGAAUAUUGGACAAUGGGCGCAAGCCUGAUCCAGCCAUACCGCGUGGGUGAAGAAGGCCUUCGGGUUGUAAAGCCCUUUUGUUGGGAAAGAAAAGCAGCAGGUUAAUACCCCGCUGUUCUGACGGUACCCAAAGAAUAAGCACCGGCUAACUUCGUG
rnacentral:rRNA from 1 species